UACGUAGGGAGCAAGCGUUGUUCGGAUUUACUGGGCGUAAAGGGCGCGUAGGCGGCAGAUCAAGUCAGUUGUGAAAUCUCUGAGCUUAACUCAGAACUGUCAACUGAUACUGCUCUGCUAGAGUGCGGAAGGGGCAAUCGGAAUUCUUGGUGUAGCGGUGAAAUGCGUAGAUAUCAAGAGGAACACCUGAGGUGAAGACGGGUUGCUGGGCUGACACUGACGCUGAGGCGCGAAAGCCAGGGGAGCAAACAGG
rnacentral:rRNA from 1 species